rnacentral:rRNA from 1 species
CCUACGGGUGGCAGCAGUGGGGAAUAUUGGACAAUGGGCGAAAGCCUGAUCCAGCCAUGCCGCGUGUGUGAAGAAGGCCUUCGGGUUGUAAAGCACUUUCAGUGGGGAAGAAAGCCUUGGGGCUAAUACCCUCGAGGAAGGACAUCACCCACAGAAGAAGCACCGGCUAACUCCGUGCCAGCAGCCGCGGUAAUACGGAGGGUGCGAGCGUUAAUCGGAAUUACUGGGCGUAAAGCGCGCGUAGGCGGUCUGAUAAGCCGGUUGUGAAAGCCCCGGGCUCAACCUGGGAACGGCAUCCGGAACUGUCAGGCUAGAGUGCAGGAGAGGAAGGUAGAAUUCCCGGUGUAGCGGUGAAAUGCGUAGAGAUCGGGAGGAAUACCAGUGGCGAAGGCGGCCUUCUGGACUGACACUGACGCUGAGGUGCGAAAGCGUGGGUAGCAAACAGGAUUAGAUACCCUGGUAGUC